GUGUAGGGGUGGAAUCUAAGGUUUCUGGAUGUCUUGGAGAGCUCUAGAUAUAACAUAUAUUUCUAUAUAUUAUAUAUACAUAUAUAUCCUUUAUUAGUAGUAUUUUCUACUACUGAUAGAAUGCAGUCUGAUUUAUUUAUUUCAAGUUUUUGAUACAGGAUCUCAUGUAGCCCAGGCUGGCAUCAAACUUUCUACUUAACCAAGGCUUGUCUUAAAUUCUAAUCUUGUCCUCACUUCCUAAAUGCUGGGUUUAUGGGUGGGGUCAGAGGCAAAAUUACAGGUGGGGUUAUAGGGGUUAUAGGUGGGGUAACAGGUGGGAUUCCAGAUGGGAUUAUAAGUGGGGUUACAGAUGGGAUUCCAGGUGGGGUAACAGGUGGGAUUCCAGGUGGGAUUAUAAAUGGGGUUACAGGUGAAAUUAUAAUGGGGUUAUAGGUGAGACUCCAGGACGUUACAGGAGGGAUUCCAGGUGGGAUUAUAAAUGGGGUUAUAGGCGGGAUUAUAGGUAGGUUUACAAAUGUGGUUACAAAUGUGGUUAGAGGCUGUGUUUAAGGGUUAGAGAUGUGCACUACCAGGCAUAGUUUUCAGCCUGACUCUUCAGUGAGGCACAGACAGAAGAACAAUGUCAUAUAAGAGCAAAAUGUUGACAAUAACCAUAAUCUAACUGCUGACAUCUCUACUCUUGGACUUUGGUGCUUGUGUGUGUGCCUGUGUGACCUGUUUGCCUAUGAGCCUGUACCUGUGUACCUGUGUGGCUGUGUGGCUGUGUGCCUGUGUGCCUGUGUGCCUGUGUGCCUGUGUGUCUUUGUGCCUGUAUGCUUAUGCCUGUGUGUCUUUGUGCCUGUAUGCUUAUGCCUGUGUGCCUGUGUACCUGUAUGCCUGUGUGCCUGUAUGCCUGUGUGCCUGUACCUGUGUACCUGUGUGCCUGUGUACCUAUGUGCCUGUAUCUUUGUGCCUGUGUGCCUAUAACUAUGUACCCAUGUGCCUGUGUGCCUGUGUACCUGUGUACCUGUGUGCCUGUGCCUGUGUGCCUGUGUGCCUGUGUGCUUGUGUGCCUGUAUGCCUGUGUGUCUUUGUGCCUGUAUGCUUAUGCCUGUGUGCCUGUGUGCCUGUGUGCCUGUGUGCCUGUGUGCCUGUACCUGUGUACCUGUGUGCCUGUGUACCUGUGUGCCUGUAUCUUUGUGCCUGUGUGCCUAUAACUGUGUACCCAUGUGCCUGUGUGCCUGUGUGCCUGUGUGCCUGUGUGCCUGUGUGCCUGUGUGCCUGUGUUCCUGUGUGUCUGUGUACCUGUGUGCCUGUGCCUGUAUGCCUAUACCUGUGUACCCAUGUGCCUGUGUGCCUGUACCUGUGUGCCUGUAUGCCUGUAUGCCUGUAUGCCUAUACGUGUGUACCCAUGUGCCUGUGUGCCUGUGUGCCUGUGUGCCUGUACCUGUGUGCCUGUGUGCCUGUAUACCUGUGUGCCUGUGUACCUGUGUGCCUGUGUGCCUGUAUGCCUGUGUACCUGUGUGCCUGUAUGCCUGUAUGCCUGUAUGCCUAUACCUGUGUACCCAUGUGCCUGUGUGCCUGUGUGCCUGUACCUGUGUGCCUGUGUGCCUGUAUGCCUGUGUGCCUGUGUGCCUGUAUGCCUGUGUGCCUAUACCUGUGGGCCUAUACCUUUGUGCCUGUGUGCCUGUGUGCCUGUGUGCCUGUGUGCCUGUGUGCAUGCAGGUGCAGCCUUAGGCAUCCUCAGGAAUCAUCCAUAUUGAUUUUUGAGAAAGGUCUCUUGCCGAGCCAGGAACUCAGGCAGCUGAACUGGCUGGCCUGCUUGUCUGAGGCAUCCAACCGUCUCUGCCAUCCCGGAGCUAGGAUUACAAAUGUGUGCCACCACAGUGGGCUUUUUACAUGGAUGCUUAGGAUCAAACCCAGGUCCCCACAUCCGUGGGACAACCAUGUUUCCGGCUGAGCCACACCCCCCUCCCCGCACCUGCUUUGAGAUUUUAAUGAAGUAAAGGGUUUCUGAACACAAACAUGGACCUCACAGCCUAGGUGACGGUGACGUCACACGCAGCACAGGCAGUCUGUACAUAGGAAGGGGUCCGGGAACUGGGUGGGAUAGAGCUGGGAAGGACUCGAUCUUCCCAGUACUCGAGUUUGUGAUUCUGGAAUUUUCCAUUUAGUAUUGUUGAACCAUCCCGGCCUGGAUGACUCAAACCACAGUGGAGCUGCGCAUACGGGAAGAUCGGUUUAUUAUUACUUUUUCUGGCUGAGGCAAAGAUAAGUUUGGGUUCCUCACAUGGUUAGGAAGGAUUUGAUGCCAAGGGUGCCCUCAGGAGGCCUGCAGCUUAGUGACAGGAUACUGCCCACGGUGAGGCUCAAAACCAUUUGUUUAUGAGCGUUACGGCAAGCUAAGAGCUAGGUCUGGGUCGUCCACAGCCCGAGACCUCCUCCCACCUAGGAACUUCCACAAAUGACUCAAGGCCCAACUCAAAUGUUCCCACCCCCAUGAGUGAAUUCGCCAAAUCCCUCCCAGGGAUCCUUCCUGUGUUCUUACACGGUCUCUCCUGGUCUCCACGUGGACCUGGGCAGGGUCCUGUGACUCCCUCAGCUGUCACGGAGCAUAGGGGAGGCUUUGGGUGAGCCCCUGCUUCAGGUAGGGACCUUGUUUGAUUGGGUGACUUCUGUCAUCCUGGGCCAGGGACAUUGCUGGAUAGCUUCUGUAGUCUGUGGAUGAUGUAAUCCUACUGUCUCCGGAGCUGGGCUGGUUUGGUCAUUACACUAGAAGGUCUGGAUUUCUCUCGAGGAAGCAGGAGUGCAUUCCCCCUCCCCCUGUAACCCUGUUCCUCCAGAAGACAGCCCCAGCUGUCAGGGCACAGCCAGGGUCAGCCUGACAUGGCUGAGAGUGAAUUUUCACUUUUCUGUGGCUCCCUAGAGUUUCCCCUGGAACACAGAUGCGGCACUGGCCCUGGGUGUCUCAUCAGAAGGACAUGCUGGCCCUGGGUGCCUCACCGGAACACAAGGCCCUGAAUAGCCCCAUGGGACCAGGCCCUAGUGCCAGCCACUUGCCAACUGGGCUCCUGUCUCUUCACUGUGUCUCUUGUUUUUGUCCUGGAGAGUAGAUAGUUUGGGGGGUGACGGGGCUGGAGGUCUGAGCCUCUGUCUUCUUCUACCUUUUGGCUUUCAGGCACUAGUGAGUCCCACCUUGGGAUUUUUUGGGUGGACCGCCCCUGUGCUUGUCUGGAACAAUCUUGUUCUGUUUCUGCAUCUGCUGCAGCGAAGGCUACCCCCACCCCCACCCUCUGGCAUGGAAUUUUCCCAGUUAUUUUUAAAUAAGUCCCGUUUAUUUGUGCUUAGAAUUCAGAUAAGAACCACCAGCCUCGCACAGAUGCGAAGCCCAAGCCGUGAAAGGCACAGCCAUGGCGGCCAUCGCCACGUCGUGUCUCUUCCCACACUCAGGCUGCUGGCGAAGGGAAACGUCCCAUUUUCCAUGUCUGAAAAGCGACAUGAGGACACAGCCUCCAACAGACAAGACGAGCCUCUCUGGAGAAAGCCAGGGAUGGAUGCUUCUGAGAGCUCAGCGGGAGGGCUCUGAACUGCAUCUGCUCAUUCUGAUUGAAAAUAUGUUAAAAGGGAGGAAAAAAAUUAAACCAAAGACCUCACCGAGUAACUCAACUGUAAACCCUAGAGAAUGAAGUCUGCCACACAUCCCCGUGGGGUUUCCACUAAUACUGCGGGCCGGGCGAAGCUUCAGGUCUCUGUGCGUUGUAGGAGAGGGCGUAUCAGCUAGCUACUGCUGUAUAACAAGCGAGCCCCAAACCACUGUAGCUUGCAAUGACUGCUUAAUUUUGCUUCAGGCUUGCCAGAUACUUCGGAUGACUUCGGCAGGCAGCGAGCGUUCCAUGAACUUUCUCGCACACCUGUGGGCUGUUGGUGGGUGGGCAGAGGGUAUUGGCUUCAUGUGGCUUCUUCUCCAGGAGGCUAACUAGGGUUUGUUCUUGUCUCAGGGGUUGGGUCCCUCACCACAAAGCAUAGGUAAGUCAUGCGUGUUGAAGCUAUGACUUUGGAAGUGGCUCCAAUACCAGGAGUGAGGAAAUGGGACCUGUCUCUUUGUGGGAGGGCUGUGAGCUCACAUGGAGGGCUCCAUGAUGUAUGAAUAGAUAUACAGGGGGAGGGGGAGUGUCCAUGCUGGGUGUCAGUCCCUCCGUGCAGCCUGGGGUGGCCUGGAUUUGAGGCUGGUGUGUGGGCUCCUGGGCUUGACUAGGGAUCAGAGUCACAAGCUGUGUAGUUCAAGGAGGACCGAGCCAAGCUCAACUCCAGUUGCAUGAUCAGCUUCACAGGGCCUGGCCUAGAACUGCAUACUCCUGUCUCCCUUCUUGAUUAGGGAUUGUUGUUCCUGGUUGCCCGGGAUGCCCCUGCCCUGCCCUGGCAGACUCUAAGGCCACACAGAAAAUCAUCCUAACCCACGUAGGAAAAAGAGGCUACAGAUCAGGAAACUGGUACAGAGGUCAGGAUGGUUGGCAAGAAGGAAACAGUGGGAGACGGAGGAGGGAUAUAAGGAAGGCAUGGGGCUGAAGGCUGGGUCUGGAAUAGAGCCUAACUUUAGUCCACCCAAGUUCAAGAGAAAAUGAUCACGGGGCCUGAAGUCUGCGUAGCUGCACCCACGUACUUGACUCAAAGGUGCAGGAGGGGUUCAAGGGAAUACAGAAUUCUGCAAUGAUCCACAUACUGAACACACUUCACGGCAGAGGUGCCCUGUGGGCCUCUGCCUUUCUGGAGAAAGCUGUGCAUAAUAGAAAGUUUUCACUUUUACUUUAUCACCACCCCAGAGACCCUUGGUGCACCUUAGUAGAAGGUGCCUUAGUGGGGAGGUCUGAGGCAGUUGGGGCUCCCAGGACGGCUAGGGUGGCUUUAGUCCUGGCUUUCAUCUGUGAACCUAUCUCCAGAGGGAGGGACCAGCCCAUGUGCGAGCGAGUCCUGUGCAUACAACCCUCAGUUGCCUGCCCCCAGAAGCCAGAGUUUGUAGCCAUUUAUUCAAGGGUCCUGGGGCUGUGGAAGCUCAGCUUCUCUUACUGUUUUCUUCCAAGUUGGGCUCAAAUCAGCCUUGCAUUUCUGCUUGACCGCGAGUUAUUUAAGGAUCUGGGUGCUUUUGAACGUCCAUAUCUGGGACUGUCACAAGACCUCAGGUCUCUGGACUCUGUGGUUGCUCCAGAGAACACCAAAACCCUAGAUGAUCAGUGUUUCUUCUGUUGGACAAGUCUGGGUUGUAUCUAUUCCAGGCUGGCCCGGCUCUGCCUCCUGCCCAUCUGGGAAGGCAGCCAGCUUGUAGUCUGAGGAAGCGAGGGUGCUCUGGGGCCAGGUGGAGGGACAGCAGGGUACCGGGUGCUUAUUUUUAGGAGCUUGUGGGUACUGCUGCCCACACUAGGUGGACAGGGACCCCUGAGCCGUCCUCGUGCCAGGGGAACGUAGCUUGGCAUUGGUCAGAACUACAGAUGGAUACCACCCCAGUCCUCACGGAUGCUGGUCUUGCCCCAGCUCCUCCCAUCUCUCCGGGUCUGAAGAGAAGGACGUGAGUUGUCAGCCUGUUCUGGGAUCUGGAGCCAGCACUGCCGCAAGGCAGAACUGAUAAACUAUAAGGCGUGUGUGUAAGGACCUUAGCUGUCAACCCACAUUGUCACCUUUAAGUCUCCUGGCUCAGGGAAGGUUCAGAGAUGCUGCAAACACAAACCUUUGUCCUCCACAGGUUGAAAAGCUGCCUGUGAGAACCUAGCCUUCUUUUGUGAUCCCGCUCUGUCUGGGCGCACACACACCAUACUAAGGAAGCCUCAUCAGGUCCUGCACGGGCCCCUGGCAGAAAGUAGACAGCACUCCAACAGCGUGACAUCAGAAGGACCAGGGGGAAUUCUGCUGCCUUCCCCAGAGCUGGCCCACAGGCCUACCUUGGCGGGAACCUAUCCAAGGAGUGGCCCGAUCUGCAAACAGAGAGCCCAGAGCGCCUCGGGGAAAAUUGGCUGAAUAAAAGGUAUAAAGACUUU